AGAGAGAGAGAGAGACAUGAAUAACUAAGGUAGAAUAAAGUUAUAGAACAAAACAAAGAGAGGUCUCUUUAGCCGGUGAUGAGUGACGAUAACGUGGCCCGAGCUGAGAUAACAACCAUCAUCUCCAUCCUCUGCGUCUGAAGUCCAGAAAGGACCAUAUCACAUAAAGCCUAUUUGUGAAGAUAAUUAUUGCCUCCCACUGCAGGCUCUUCAUCUCUUUCUUUCAGGGCUUCAUUGAUGGAUUUUUUUCAUUCCUCCCAUCUUUAGUCAGUGACUGCAUGCCCUUCCAUUAGAGAAAUUGAAAUGAGUAACUCAUUUACAUUAAGUUACUUGGAUUCCAUUGUCUUAUUCACUCUAACGCUAUUUUCUUUUCAUUACCAGAGAGAAAUGCUUAAAAUAAAAGGUCUCUGCCCUUGUGGCAGGAUUUAAGCAUGGCAAAUGGGUGAACCAUCUGAGAGCAUGCAAAGCCCUCCAGCAUUGCCAGGUCAGACAUCAAGGAUCCUACAAAAACAAAACAAAACAAAACAAAACAAACAAAAAAAAAAACCAGUGGCUGUUGUCUGCAAAUUCAGACCGGAUGUUACAUAAGGAAGGACAGCAGCUGGUGGAUGGGUGAAGUGACUGUGCUCCGAUCUCUGAACACUGGCUCCAGUUAGGACGCCAAGGCUAGAAGAUCUCUCUACAACCUUCCCCGGUACAUGGAUUAUGAGCAACUAAUUAACUCCUUUGAGAUUUGUGAGUCUAGAAAUAAAAGAAGAAAUGAGGCAGAACUGGAAGACUUGAAUAACCAGAAUUUGGGGUGAGGAGGGGAUAACAUGAAAGGCCGAUGAGGGUAAAAUAAGGCUGGCUGGCGCACUUGUCCAGGGAAAUCGCCAGAGGAGCGGGCGCAUAACCGUCUGGCAUAUCCGUCACCAAGGAGCUUAAGGAGUUACAGCUGGAGACUGUCUUUUAUGUAUUAACAAAAGGGCAGGUGUUUGUAGGUGUGCUGCGGAGGAGGCUCCUGACGGUUCUUAUUCUGUGGAUUGUGUUUAACUUGUCACCUUGUCAUCUGUCUUUUGUGUUUCUUACAUGCCUCCUGUAACAUUUUCACCCUGUUCUACUGACUCCUUUGUUCCGGGAGAUAUCGAGGGUCAUCAAGCUUUCAGAGAUUGUGAAGACACUGUCAUUUCGUCAGAAAGAUCCGUCAUGGUACUUGUCCUCUAACACAGAAAAACUUCUCUGUGAAGUUAGACUGUUGCAGACACUCUCUGCUCCCUUCUCCUGGAAACCAGAAGUCUCUGCUCGCCUGUCCCGGAUCCUGGAAAUCUCUUCUCGGGACUCCGGGGUCCAGUAAGGCAACGACAGGAUGGAGCACCCAGUCUGCCCAGAGGAAGUUUCUCUUCCAAACAGUUUACAUGAUGGACGUUGACAUAUGAGAGCUUCACUCCCUCCCACCCUUUGGCUUGUUUACUUGGCUACUUCUGUGGUCAUCCUUUGACCAUUAGGCUUAGUGGCUUUCCAGUAAGACACAUACGGAGUUGUCUGUUACUCAAAAUAAAGAAAU
rnacentral:lncRNA from 1 species